AACGAACGCUGGCGGCAUGCCUAACACAUGCAAGUCGAACGAGGCCUUCGGGUCUAGUGGCGCACGGGUGCGUAACGCGUGGGAACCUGCCCUUAGGUUCGGAAUAACUCCCCGAAAGGGGUGCUAAUACCGGAUAAUGUCUUCGGACCAAAGAUUUAUCGCCUUUGGAUGGGCCCGCGUUGGAUUAGCUAGUUGGUAGGGUAAAAGCCUACCAAGGCGACGAUCCAUAGCUGGUCUGAGAGGAUGAUCAGCCACACUGGGACUGAGACACGGCCCAGACUCCUACGGGAAGCAGCAGUGGAGAAUAUUGGACAAUGGGCGAAAGCCUGAUCCAGCAAUGCCGCGUGAGUGAUGAAGGCCUUAGGGUUGUAAAGCUCUUUUACCCGGGAUGAUAAUGACAGUACCGGGAGAAUAAGCUCCGGCUAACUCCGUG
rnacentral:rRNA from 1 species